UGAAGUUAAGUAAAUAUUGUGUUGGCUACGAUCAUAAUGCCUUGAUUAAACGCGCAAACCAAUCUCCGAAACUCACGUCAAAGGUCGGAUGGAGUUUACAUAAUAGUACAAAAUUAAUUAGCGCGCUUAAAAAUUAAUUGUAGCGAAAGAAAAUAGAGCUCUGCGACAUUCAGCUGAAGAAAAAAGAAAACUUCUCAAAGAAAAUCUCCGUUGAAGAAAACGUUAGGACCAUACCUCCAGACCCUGUGCUGAAGCACAGUAUGGCAGCGCGAAGCAUUUACGACUAUACCAGAGAUUUCGACCCCGACACCGCUAUCCAGUGACUGAUCAAGAAGCUCGGCCGAAGCCCAAGGGAGAGGCUAGUCGGCCCCUUGACCGUAAAUGAUUAACCCCUUGCUAUGACCAACGGUUUGAGAAAAGUUUUUCUGAUAACUAUAUUUUUCUUCUCACGCUGGCCCAUGUGGGUCGUGUUUGUUCGGAAAAAAGAGCUAGACAAGUCAUGCGCAAUUUAAUGUUAAGUAAUGUGAUCUGGAAGUCCGGUAUAGAUUACCGAUGAGUUUGGUAAAUUUGGAAUGGUGAUAGAAAGCAUAUGAAAACUUAACGAAAUUAUAAAUAAAAUGAAAGAUUGAAAAGAAUAUAACAAAUCAUAUCAAAUAUUAGCGAAAAGGCAAAUAAAAUAGCCUAAGUACCACAAGAUACCUAAGACAACUGCUCAUUCUAAAACUUAACAGAAUUCAAACUCAGUCACAUUAAUCGCCAUUAACAUAACUUAAUUUUGRUGUUUGUGUACAACAAGAACAAUACUGUCAGGUGUUCUACCAAAUUUGUUACUUCAAACUCAAAACUUCCWAAGAUCUGUUCCUUUAUGAUGAAAGAUUCUUCCCACGCACAUCUUCGGCACCUGCUAAAUACUUACUCAACACAGCCGUUCAAACCCUAUGCUCGACAUGCUCAAGGUACUUGCCGUACUACUCUGGGAACUUUGAGAGCUGGCGCUACUACUACGAGAGGAUGAGCCUUCUGACAACUCAAUUCUAAGCUCGCUUGUUUUUCGCUUAGUUUCUUUGUAUUUGUCAGGAAGGAGAUAGCAUUUUGCGUAGAGUGUUGUGAAGUUGUGAGCUAAAUGAAGAAAAAAGAUAAAGUUUAUUAUGAAAUCUUUAAAAUUUAUAAAGYACAUUAAAGCAGAAAUAGAAAGCUAUAGAAAAAGAUGGAAAUGCGGAAGACAAUAAAAACGAGAAAACUAAAUAGCUCAAAAGCUUGAAAGGCUAUUAUCUUAAAAUAUGUCAAUUCAUCUUUUCUUACCUGGUGGAAGUUUGAUAUCUCUGAUGUCCAAAAUAUUAAUUUUGAGUUCUGAGUAUCGACUAAGGAAAUCAAAAGACACUUGUAUUUCGCCAGGGCCUGGCUGAAUAUUUUCAUUAUAAUCUAUAAUACAAAUUUAAGUUAAUAAUAGAUAAGUAUUUAGGUAAGGUAUGGUUUUUAUUACCCUCCACUCUGAAUCCUCAGCCUAUCCCCUCCCCCACAUCUCACACCAGCAAAAACAUACCUUUCCUUUAGACAAUUUUAGAUAAUAAGGAAUUGAAAGUAAUAAUACAYGCUAAAUGUCAAUGGUUAUUUAAUGAGUAUUUACCUAAUGAUUCUGUAUUGCUAAUGGAUCCAUUGAGGUCUGUAGCACCUUGUUUAUUCUGUGUAUACAUCUAGAAAAGAUGAAGAAUUGAUGCCAAUGUUAAAUAAAAUAGAGUCAUCACUGUGAAA